UGAGUAAGAUAUAGAAAGUAACAUGACACGAAUAUUAAUAUAGCUUACCCCUUCCCUAGCAUGCUGUUCGAUCAUCAGUCGGUAUAUCGGGACAGUGUACGACCUCUCAAUACCGGAUAAAUACUCCAUCUACAAAAACAAAUAUAGUAUGGUUGAUAACAUCAGUCAAUAUAGUAUACUUGCUAUUAAUGACAAGUUAUAUUUUAUCACAUGUUAACUAGUGGAUAAACAUAUGGUUGGUGAGUAAACGAUGCCAAAAAUGACAUUCGAUA
rnacentral:lncRNA from 1 species